UUAUUACAGUAUAUAUUAUAAUUAUUUUUACAAUAGGUAAAGGCAGGUAAUUAUUUUGGAUAGAAUAGGUAUAUAGUGUAAUAUCCAACUCGCCCAUUUACCCCACUCGCAAAAUAACCUAUCUCCCCAAAUCCAUUUAGACCAGACCCCUCCGUCAAAAACAAAACCCUAGCUGUCUCCCUUCUCUUCUUCUCUCUCGAACGCCCAACCCUAGCAGCCGCCCAAUCUCUCACCUCACUCUCAGAGAAGGACAUGAAAAGUUCUCCCUCAUCUGCACACUCCUUCAAUCCUUCAUUCCUUCACUCACGCCUAUACACACACUCCUCCCUGCACACUCAUUCCUAGAUAAUUCCAAAAAUAUUGAAAUCCAACAGUGUUCGCAACUAACUGGAAACUAAAGACGUCAAAGAUCAAAAAAAGAAAAUCUGAGAUAAAAAUAAAAAAAACGAACAGAAGAAAACUAGGAUUGAAAGGAAUUUUUUGGAAUCGUCUCAAUUGCUCGAUUAUCCUGCAUAUUCUGGGUUGUACGGGAGUGAUUUUAACUCAAAUCGAUGCUUGAUUUUGCUGCUGAUCGUUGAAUCUGUAUCGCUGUCCUCCAAUCAGCCGAUUUCUUCGCCUUUUAUCUAGUUUUUGGAGCUAUAGACCUGCGCUCUAGGGAUGGACGACGAUUUCUCGAUGCCAAGAUACCAUGACUACCGUCGCCCCAAAGGUGAAGAUGAGUCAUGAAUUGCUGCUUCUGAGUGUUAGUUUGCCUCCAACGAUACCGAUUCGUAUGAUACUGAAUGUUUUAUGUGUUUGUUUGAAGAUGGGGAUGAAGCUGAAAUGACGAGUUGGACGGUCUUUGUGCUUUUUGAUCUUGUGUGGUUUAAAUUUAUUUCAUUUUAGGGAUGAAGCUGAGUCUGCUGCUGGACAUGAGUCUAUUCCAGCUGCACAUGUGUGUGAUGAGUCUACUGCUGCACAUGAGUCUACUAGACAUGAGUCUACUGCACAUCGGUGUGAUGAGUCUACUGCACAUGGGUCUGCAAAUGAGUCUACUUCACAUGAAAGUGCAAGUGAGAUUACACAAAUGACAAACAAAGAAACUGUAAAAACGGAAAGAAACACAAACAAAGGAAAAACACCACAAAUGCUCGUUCCCCUAGCAGUAACAACAAAG